rnacentral:sRNA from 1 species
CAGGACCGGAGCAGGGCCCCAAGCCCCGGGCCUGGUGGGGGACGCGCUUCUUCCCACACCCUGAGCCUCAGCAGCUCCAGCCAGCGGACCCGACGGCUGAGAGGAGCCCCAGAACCAGGACUGGGGGAUUUGGAGCUGGGCAGAGACUUAACCCCCACAGCACCGGGAAGCAGCCAACUCCCCUCGCCUCCUUCCCCCUUCGUGGCUUGCGGUCUCUCUUCCCCGCCUCGGCCCCCAGGAAGUGAAGAUGUUACAGCCUGGUUCUCAUCCUCCCUCACCCCAAGCUGCUGCUCCUGGAGAAGCCUGGCCAGGCCCCUCUCAGGCUCCCUGGCAGAGCCUAGAGGAGAAGAUGGGGAGCCCCGAGGAUGAUCUGAUUGGGAUUCCAUUCCCGGACCACAGCAGUGAGCUCCUGAGCUGCCUCAAUGAGCAGCGCCAGCUGGGCCACCUAUGUGACCUCACCAUCCGGACGCAGGGCCUUGAAUACCGCACCCACAGGGCUGUGCUAGCUGCCUGUAGCCACUACUUCAAGAAGCUUUUCACUGAGGGUGGUGGCGGAGCUGUCAUGGGGGCCGGGGGCAGCGGGACGGCCGCUGGGGGAGCAGGGGCCGGAGUGUGUGAGCUGGACUUUGUAGGGCCAGAGGCACUAGGCGCCCUCCU